rnacentral:rRNA from 1 species
GACGAACCGUGCGAACGUUAUUCGGAAUCAUUGGGCUUAAAGGGCGCGUAGGCGGGCGACCGCGUCGAGUGCUGAAAUCCCCCGGCUCAACCGGGGAAGGGGCCUCGAAACGGGUCGCCUCGAGGCGAGGAGGGGGACCUGGAACGUCCGGUGGAGCGGUGAAAUGCGUUGAGAUCGGACGAACACCAACGGCGAAAGCAAGGUCCUGGACUCGUACUGACGCUGAGGCGCGAAAGCCAGGGGAGCGAACGGG